CCUACGGGUGGCAGCAGUGAGGAAUAUUGGUCAAUGGUCGGGAGACUGAACCAGCCAAGCCGCGUGGAGGAGGAAGGCACAGAGAGUUGUAAACCGCUUUUGUCAGGGGACAAAGGCGGGGACGCGUCCCCGGAUGAGUGUACCUGAAGAAAAAGCAUCGGCUAACUCCGUGCCAGCAGCCGCGGUAAUACGGAGGAUGGGAGCGUUAUCCGGAUUUAUUGGGUUUAAAGGGUGCGCAGGCGGUCCGUUAAGUUAGCGGUCAAAGCCCGGGGCUCAACACCGGGCUCGCCUUUGAUACUGUCCGUCUCGAGUUUGAUAGAAGUAUGCGGAAUGCGUGGUGUAGCGGUGAAAUGCAUAGAUAUCGCGCAGAACUCCGAUUGCGAAGGCAGCAUGCCGGCUCCACUCUGACGCUGAGGCACGAAAGCGUGGGUAUCGAACAGGAUUAGAUACCCUGGUAGUC
rnacentral:rRNA from 1 species